rnacentral:rRNA from 1 species
GUCCACGCCGUAAACGAUGGGUGCUAGGUGUCGCGGGCUUUGACCCCUGCGGUGCCGUAGCUAACGCAUUAAGCACCCCGCCUGGGGAGUACGGCCGCAAGGCUAAAACUCAAAGGAAUUGACGGGGGCCCGCACAAGCGGUGGAGCAUGUGGUUCAAUUCGACGCAACGCGCAGAACCUUACCUGGGCUAGAAAAUACAGGAACCUGGUUGAAAGAUCGGGGUGCUCUUCGGAGAGCCUGUAGUUAGGUGCUGCAUGGCUGUCGU